GAUGAACGCUGGCGGCGUGCCUAAUACAUGCAAGUCGAGCGAACGGACGAGAAGCUUGCUUCUCUGAUGUUAGCGGCGGACGGGUGAGUAACACGUGGAUAACCUACCUAUAAGACUGGGAUAACUUCGGGAAACCGGAGCUAAUACCGGAUAAUAUUUUGAACCGCAUGGUUCAGAAGUGAAAGACGGUCUUGCUGUCACUUAUAGAUGGAUCCGCGCUGCAUUAGCUAGUUGGUAAGGUAACGGCUUACCAAGGCAACGAUGCAUAGCCGACCUGAGAGGGUGAUCGGCCACACUGGAACUGAGACACGGUCCAGACUCCUACGGGAGGCAGCAGUAGGGAAUCUUCCGCAAUGGGCGAAAGCCUGACGGAGCAACGCCGCGUGAGUGAUGAAGGUCUUCGGAUCGUAAAACUCUGUUAUUAGGGAAGAACAUAUGUGUAAGUAACUGUGCACAUCUUGACGGUACCUAAUCAGAAAGCCACGGCUAACUACGUG
rnacentral:rRNA from 1 species